rnacentral:piRNA from 1 species
UGGGAUGUUCAGUUGGCACAGACAGGUAUC